rnacentral:lncRNA from 1 species
ACAUAUUCAUUAGCAUGUCUUGCAUAACAGAUACCGCCACAGUGUUCUCAGUUUGUUUGGUGUUCAAUCAGCAGGAUAGCUGACCCAGGCAUUCACCGGUACGGUACCCGCAGAAACCAAUAGAGAAUAAUGGAAAGCCUACAAGCAGAGUUCGCCGAGAUGAAAAUCCGUAUGAAUCAAUUCAUGGAUGUGGUUCAAGGGGUGGCUCAGGGACAGCAAGAGCUCAGGCAGAUGAUACAGAGGAAUCCCC